ACUUAGGGGUAAUGCCUUAGUACGGCGAGUGAGCGGCAAAAGCUCAAAUUUGAAAUCUGGUACCUUCGGUGCCCGAGUUGUAAUUUGUAGAAGGUAACUUUGGGGCUGGUCCUUGUCUAUGUUCCUUGGAACAGGACGUCAUAGAGGGUGAGAAUCCCGUGUGGCGAGGAUCCCAGUUCUUUGUAAAGUGCUUUCGAAGAGUCGAGUUGUUUGGGAAUGCAGCUCUAAGUGGGUGGUAAAUUCCAUCUAAAGCUAAAUAUUGGCGAGAGACCGAUAGCGAACAAGUACAGUGAUGGAAAGAUGAAAAGAACUUUGAAAAGAGAGUGAAAAAGUACGUGAAAUUGUUGAAAGGGAAGGGCAUUUGAUCAGACAUGGUGUUUUGCGCCCUCUGCUCCUUGUGGGUGGGGGAAUCUCGCAGCUCACUGGGCCAGCAUCAGUUUUGGCGGCAGGAUAAAUCUGCAGGAAUGUAGCUUGCCUCGGUAAGUGUUAUAUCCUGUAGAAAUACUGCCAGCUGGGACUGAGGACUGCGACUUUACGUCAAGGAUGCUGGCAUAAUGGUUAUAUGCCGCCCGUCUAA
rnacentral:rRNA from 1 species